GACGAACGCUAGCUACAGGCUUAACACAUGCAAGUCGAGGGACCGGCGCACGGGUGAGUAACACGUAUCCAACCUGCCCUUUACUCGGGGAUAGCCUUUCGUAAGAAAGAUUAAUACCCGAUGUACAGGCUGGGGAUGCGUUCCAUUAGGUUGUUGGUGAGGUAACGGCUCACCAAGCAUUCGAUGGAUAGGGGUUCUGAGAGGAAGGGCCCCCACAUUGGAACUGAGACACGGUCCAAACUCCUACGGGAGGCAGCAGUGAGGAAUAUUGGUCAAUGGGCGUUAGCCUGAACCAGCCAAGUAGCGUGAAGGAUGAAGGCUUAUGGGUCGUAAACUUCUGUUAGAUAAGAAUAUGUAUUAGAUGAAUAAGGAUCGGCUAACUCCGUGCCAGCAGCCGCGGUAAUUC
rnacentral:rRNA from 1 species